rnacentral:snoRNA from 1 species
AUUCAAUGAUGCGAAACAUAUUUGCUACUCUUGAUAAAGAUGAUGACAAACAUAUCACCAAGAUCGCUGAGAAU